AACCCGUACACACAGGUACAGACAGCUUCAACACAGUCUGCAGGCCCUAACCCAUACACACAGGUACAGACAGUUUGCAGGCCCUAACCCGUACAGACAGGUACAGACAGUCUGCAGGCCCUAACCCAUACACACAGGUACAGACAGUCUGCAGGCCCUAACCCGUACAGACAGUCUGCAGGCCCUAACCCAUACAGACAGGUACAGACAGCUUCAACACAGUCUACAGGCCCUAACCCAUACAGACAGGUACAGUCAGUCUGCAGGCCCUAACCCAUACACACAGGUACAGACAGCGUCAACACAGUCUGCAGGCCCUAACCCAUACACACAGGUACAGACAGCUUCAACACAGUCUGCAGGCCC
ensembl:lncRNA